UACGAAGGUGGCGAGCGUUACUCGGAAUUACUAGGCGUAAAGGGCAGGUAGGCGGUUUGAUAAGUCUAUUGUGAAAGCUCCCGGCUUAACCGGGAGAGGUCAAUGGAUACUGUCGAACUUGAGUAUGGGAGAGGGUACUGGAAUUCCUGGUGUAGCGGUGAAAUGCGUAGAUAUCCGGAGGAACACCGGUGGCGAAGGCGGCUUCCUGGACCGACACUGACGCUGAGGCGCGAAAGCUAGGGGAGCAAACGGG
rnacentral:rRNA from 1 species